rnacentral:lncRNA from 1 species
UGGACAGUGCUCCUAUUGGAAACAAACUAUGUCAGUUUUUUGGUGGUGAUGUUUCAACUGAAGCCUAAAUUAUUCUCAUUCAAUGAGAAUAAGACUCAUUUCACUUCUGAUGAGUACUCCAUGUUUGAAACAAUCCUCCAGAGGCAAAAGGAAAGCCAGAGGAUGCCGAGGGCUGGAAAGUUUCAAGCAGGACAGCAAGUUCAAAGACCAAUCAUGAGUCUCAUUCAAGAUCUUCCAGGAACCCAUACAUUGGAAUUGAAGCAUAAAUAUCCUGUAUCCAAGAGCAAAGCAGAAAAAAAAGGUGUUUUCAACCAGUGUGGUACAAAGUCAGGAGUUUUGUGUGAGGGAUAA